GCUUGCAUCGUCUAACGGUUAGGACGUAGGUCUCAUACUUAGUCAGUAUGACUGCAAUCUCAAUUGCAGAUUCUUCUACGAAGGCAUCCUAAAAUCUGAGUUCGAUUCUCAGUGCGAGCA
rfam:Sphaerulina musiva SO2202 unplaced genomic scaffold SEPMTscaffold_2, whole genome shotgun sequence.